rnacentral:rRNA from 1 species
UACAGAGGUCCCAAGCGUUGUUCGGAUUCACUGGGCGUAAAGGGUGCGUAGGUGGUCGGGUAAGUCUGAUGUGAAAUCUCCAAGCUCAACUUGGAAAUGGCAUUGGAUACUAUUCGGCUAGAGGGUUUGAGGGGGGACUGGAAUACUUGGUGUAGCAGUGAAAUGCGUAGAUAUCAAGUGGAACACCAGUGGCGAAGGCGAGUCCCUGGAAAACUCCUGACACUGAGGCACGAAAGCUAGGGGAGCAAACAGG